CCCGAAACCAGGCGAUCUAUCCAUGAGCAGGUUGAAGGUUGGGUAACACUAACUGGAGGACCGAACCCACUGUCGUUGAAAAGCCAGGGGAUGACUUGUGGAUAGGGGUGAAAGGCUAAUCAAGCCUGGUGAUAGCUGGUUCUCCCCGAAAGCUAUUUAGGUAGCGCCUCGGACGAAUACCAUAGGGGGUAGAGCACUGUUUCGGCUAGGGGGUCAUCCCGACUUACCAAACCGAUGCAAACUCCGAAUACCUAUGAGUACUAUCCGGGAGACAGACUGCGGGUGCUAACGUCCGUAGUCAAGAGGAAAACAAUCCAGACCGCCAGCUAAGGCCCCAAAAUCAUAGUUAAGUGGGAAACGAUGUGGGAAGGCAUAGACAGCUAGGAGGUUGGCUUAGAAGCAGCCACCCUUUAAAGAAAGCGUAAUAGCUCACUAGUCGAGUCGGCCUGCGCGGAAGAUGUAACGGGGCUAAAACUAUGUGCCGAAGCUGCGGAUUUGACAUUAGUCAAGUGGUAGGGGAGCGUUCUGUAAGCCGAUGAAGGUGUAUUGAGAAGUAUGCUGGAGGUAUCAGAAGUGCGAAUGCUGACGUGAGUAACGACAAAACGGGUGAAAAACCCGUUCGCCGAAAGACCAAGGGUUCCAGUCCAACGUUAAUCGGGGCUGGGUGAGUCGACCCCUAAGGCGAGGCCGAAAGGCGUAGUCGAUGGGAAAAUGGUUAAUAUUCCAUUACUUCUGUGUAAUGCGAUGAGAGGACGGAGAAGGCUAAAUCAGCCUGGCGUUGGUUGUCCAGGUGAAAGGAUGUAGGCAUGUAUCUUAGGCAAAUCCGGGGUACUCUAUGCUGAGAUCUGAUAGCAAGCUGUACUUGUACAGCGAAGUGGUUGAUGCCAUGCUUCCAGGAAAAGUCUCUAAGCUUCAGUUACACAGGAAUCGUACCCGAAACCGACACAGGUGGUCAGGUCGAGUAGACCAAGGCGCUUGAGAGAACUCUGCUGAAGGAACUAGGCAAAAUGGUACCGUAACUUCGGGAGAAGGUACGCUGUUGUUGGUGAUGGAACUCGCUUCCUGAGCUGACGACAGCCGCAGAAACCAGGCCGCUGCAACUGUUUAUUAAAAACAUAGCACUCUGCAAACACGAAAGUGGACGUAUAGGGUGUGAUGCCUGCCCGGUGCUGGAAGGUUAAUUGAUGGGGUUAGCGUAAGCGAAGCUCUUGAUCGAAGCCCCAGUAAACGGCGGCCGUAACUAUAACGGUCCUAAGGUAGCGAAAUUCCUUGUCGGGUAAGUUCCGACCUGCACGAAUGGCAUAAUGAUGGCGGCGCUGUCUCCAGCAGAGGCUCAGUGAAAUCGAAAUCGCUGUGAAGAUGCAGUGUACCCGCGGCUAGACGGAAAGACCCCGUGAACCUUUACUGCAGCUUGACACUGAACUUUGACCUUACUUGUGUAGGAUAGGUGGGAGGCUUUGAAGCUGGAACGCUAGUUCCAGUGGAGCCGUCCUUGAAAUACCACCCUGGUAAUGUUGAGGUUCUAACUCUGUCCCGUGAUCCGGGACGAGGACCGUGUCUGGUGGGUAGUUUGACUGGGGCGGUCUCCUCCUAAAGAGUAACGGAGGAGUACGAAGGUGCGCUCAGCGUGGUCGGAAAUCACGCGUAGAGUAUAAAGGCAAAAGCGCGCUUAACUGCGAGACCCACAAGUCGAGCAGGUACGAAAGUAGGUCUUAGUGAUCCGGUGGUUCUGUAUGGAAGGGCCAUCGCUCAACGGAUAAAAGGUACUCUGGGGAUAACAGGCUGAUACCGCCCAAGAGUUCAUAUCGACGGCGGUGUUUGGCACCUCGAUGUCGGCUCAUCUCAUCCUGGGGCUGAAGCAGGUCCCAAGGGUAUGGCUGUUCGCCAUUUAAAGAGGUACGCGAGCUGGGUUUAGAACGUCGUGAGACAGUUCGGUCCCUAUCUACCGUGGGCGCUGGAAAUUUGAGAGGAUCUGCUCCUAGUACGAGAGGACCAGAGUGGACGAACCUCUGGUGUACCGGUUGUGACGCCAGUCGCAUCGCCGGGUAGCUAUGUUCGGAAGGGAUAACCGCUGAAAGCAUCUAAGCGGGAAGCCUACCUCAAGAUAAGAUUUCCCUAGGACUUUAUGUCCUCUAAAGAGCCGUUCGAGACUAGGACGUUGAUAGGUUGGAUGUGGAAGCAUAGUGAUAUGUGAAGCUGACCAAUACUAAUUGCUCGUGAGGCUUGACUAU
rnacentral:rRNA from 1 species